GAUGAACGCUGGCGGCGUGCCUAAUACAUGCAAGUCGAGCGAAUGGAUUAAGAGCUUGCUCUUAUGAAGUUAGCGGCGGACGGGUGAGUAACACGUGGGUAACCUGCCCAUAAGACUGUGAUAACUCCGGGAAACCGGGGCUAAUACCGGAUAACAUUUUGAACCGCAUGGAUCGAAAUUGAAAGGCGGCUUCGGAUGUCACUGAUGGAUGGACCCGCGUCGCAUUAGCUAGUUGGUGAGGUAACGGCUCACCAAGGCAACGAUGCGUAGCCGACCUGAGAGGGUGAACGGCCACACUGGUGCUGAGACACGGCCCAGACUCCUACGGGAGGCAGCAGUAGGGAAUCUUCCGCAAUGGACGAAAGUCUGACGGAGCAACGCCGCGUGAGUGAUGAAGGCUUUCGGGUCGUAAAACUCUGUUGUUAGGGAAGAACAAGUGCUAGUUGAAUAAGCUGGCACCUUGACGGUACCUAACCAGAAAGCCACGGCUAACUACGUGCCAGCCGCCGCCGUAA
rnacentral:rRNA from 1 species